rnacentral:misc_RNA from 1 species
AACUGAUACUACCUGCGGGAACCUGCGGAAGGAUCAUUACCGAGUGAGGGCCCUCUGGGUCCAACCUCCCACCCGUGUUUUCCGAACCCUGUUGCUUCGGCGGGCCCGCCUCACGGCCGCCGGGGGGCUUCUGUCCCCGGGCCCGCGCCCGCCGAAGACACCUGUGAACGCUGUCUGAAGUUGCAGUCUGAGAAACUAGCUAAAUUAGUUAAAACUUUCAGCAAUGGAUCUCUAGAUCGG